rnacentral:rRNA from 1 species
UACGUAGGGUGCGAGCGUUGUCCGGAAUUAUUGGGCGUAAAGAGCUUGUAGGCGGUUUGUCGCGUCUGCUGUGAAAUCUCAAGGCUCAACCUUGAGCUUGCAGUGGGUACGGGGCAGACUAGAGUGUGGUAGGGGGAGACUGGAAUUCCUGGUGUAGCGGUGAAAUGCGCAGAUAUCAGGAGGAACACCGAUGGCGAAGGCAGGUCUCUGGGGCCACU